GACGAACGCUGGCGGCGUGCUUAACACAUGCAAGUCGAACGGAAAGGCCCUGCUUUUGUUUGUUUCUCGAUUGGCGAACGGGUGAGUAACACGUGUGUAACCUUCCCUUUACGUUUGGAUAACUUCAGGAAACUCGGGCUAAUACCCGGUAGGUACUCUGGCUGCAUUGGGUGGGUUGGAAAAUUUAGGCGUGUGGAGAUGGACUCGCGGCUUAUCAGUUUGUUAGUUGGGUAGUGGCUUACCAGGGUAGCGAGGGGUAGCCGCCAUGGGAGGGUGAACGGCGACAAUGGGCCUGCGAUAGGGCGCAGACUGCAACGGGACGCAAUGGUGGGAAAUCUUGCACAAUGGGGGGGAGUGAGAUACGGAAAUGCCGCGUGCGUAAUGCCGGGCUUCGAGUUGUAAACAGAUUUCGAAUGUGACGAAGAGUGAGUGACGGUAAUGGGUAAAGAAGCACCGGCUAACUACGUG
rnacentral:rRNA from 1 species